rnacentral:rRNA from 1 species
GUGGGGAAUUUUCCGCAAUGGGCGAAAGCCUGACGGAGCGACGCCGCGUGGAGGAUGAAGGAUUUCGGUCUGUAAACUCCUGUCAGGGGGGACGAUGAUGACGGUACCCCCAAAGGAAGCAUCGGCUAACUACGUGCCAGCAGCCGCGGUAAUACGUAGGAUGCAAGCGUUGUUCGGAAUUAUUGGGCGUAAAGCGUGCGUAGGCGGCUUGUUAAGUCUGGUGUGAAAGCUAGGGGCUCAACCCCUGUGUUGCACUGGAAACUGGCAGGCUUGAGUGCGGUAGGGGAAGGUGGAAUUCCGAGUGUAGCGGUGAAAUGCGUAGAUAUUCGGAAGAACACCGGUGGCGAAGGCGACCUUCUGGGCCGCCACUGACGCUGAGGCACGAAAGCGUGGGGAGCAAACGGGAUUAGAAACCCGGGUAGUCC